CCCCCCCCGCCCCAUCCCGCUGCCGGCUCCAUGAGCUUCACAUCCUCCUGCUAAGGCUGAAAGGAACAAGAACAAGAGCUGCUGAUGGUUGCUCUCCCUCCCUCAUGGCCGGAGUGGAAAAGCACGUUUAAAUCCCGAACUCGGCUUUCCCACGUGGUGUCUCGCUGAGCUGCUGUCACAGCCACGCCGCGCUCUCACAGGGCACCGGACUUCUUCCCUGCCCUGCCGGCAAGGCACAAGGAGGCAGCCUUCAUCGAGCGAGGAGAGCGAAUCUUGGCAAAAAGAGCACCGAAGGAUGUGAACCCCUUGGAAAAUUCCACUUCCUGCCCAGCACUGCGUGUCCUUGGGUCUCUCACUCAUUCCCAUGCACUUAACGAGGGAUUUCUGCCUCAGGCUAC
rnacentral:lncRNA from 1 species